rnacentral:rRNA from 1 species
UACGUAGGGGGCAAGCGUUGUCCGGAUUUAUUGGGCGUAAAGAGUGUGUAGGCGGUGCUCUAAGUUCGGUGUGAAAUCUCCUGGCUCAACUGGGAGGGUGCGCCGGAAACUGGAAUGCUUGAGCGUGGGAGAGGAAAGCGGAAUUCCUGGUGUAGCGGUGAAAUGCGUAGAUAUCAGGAGGAACACCAAUGGCGAAGGCAGCUCGCUGGGACGGUACUGACGCUGAGACGCGAAAGCGUGGGGAGCAAACAGG